UACUCACAAUGCUGCGUCAUCUGUCGUGCCACCUAGGAAUGCUGGCCUCCAGUGACUCAGAGAUUCAUAGUAAGCUCCACUGAUGAAGACUACAAAUGCAAGCCUUACUCAGAAAAUGUAGGAAAAUGUGAAUGAUCAUCCAUUUUUCAGUUAUGUCGAAUUUGACCACUCAGAAUUUUACAACUUAUGCAUAGAAUAACAUAUCUUCCAACCACAUCAAGAACUCUUUGGUGCACGAUGGCUGCAUUUUGGGAAUGCGAUCUCUUUCAAUGUUGGCCACAUUCCUGCCUUCCACUCACAGGAAGAGCACAUCACGCAUCCAUUGGAAGGCAUCAGUGAGGAGGACCCACUGGCCAUCCCAAAAGCCCUUGGAAUAUAUAGUCUUGGCCACUGGAGGAGAUUCUCACAUGUGACUUUGAAUUCCUCAAAAACAGUGGUUGGUGUCCUACUCACCUUGUUAUACCUAGCUCAGAGUUGAGGAUUUGUCAGUGUGGUAGAAUGAAUGCUGAUGAGCCAAUCAGAUUUCCUGCCACAGUCAGAAGGAAGAGGAAGACUGAGCAUAGCUGUGAACGAUGCAGGAUGAACUGCCACAGGAGUGUGGAAGAAGGGGGGAAAACAGAGGCUUGGGAAAGGAUGUGGAAUAAUGUGGCCAAAGUCCCACCACUAAUCAGCAAUACAGGAUUAGAACUCAGGUAGUCUCAGCCAGUGAGUACACUGCCUUCAAAGCACAGAGAAAUACCUCCACGUACUCUUCAGCAAUUCUCACUCAAUAAAUAGUUUUUACUGAUAA